rnacentral:rRNA from 1 species
UCGAGCGAGCUUGCCUAGAUGAAUUUGGUGCUUGCACCAGAUGAAACUAGAUACAAGCGUGCGGCGGACGGGUGAGUAACACGUGGGUAACCUGCCCAAGAGACUGGGAUAACACCUGGAAACAGAUGCUAAUACCGGAUAACAACACUAGACGCAUGUCUAGAGUUUAAAAGAUGGUUCUGCUAUCACUCUUGGAUGGACCUGCGGUGCAUUAGCUAGUUGGUAAGGUAACGGCUUACCAAGGCAAUGAUGCAUAGCCGAGUUGAGAGACUGAUCGGCCACAUUGGGACUGAGACACGGCCCAAACCCCUACGGGAGGCAGCAGUAGGGAAUCUUCCACAAUGGACGCAAGUCUGAUGGAGCAACGCCGCGUGAGUGAAGAAGGGUUUCGGCUCGUAAAGCUCUGUUGGUAGUGAAGAAAGAUAGAGGUAGUAACUGGCCUUUAUUUGACGGUAAUUACUUAGAAAGUCACGGCUAACUACGUGCCAGCAGCCGCGGUAAUACGUAGGUGGCAAGCGUUGUCCGGAUUUAUUGGGCGUAAAGCGAGUGCAGGCGGUUCAAUAAGUCUGAUGUGAAAGCCUUCGGCUCAACCGGAGAAUUGCAUCAGAAACUGUUGAACUUGAGUGCAGAAGAGGAGAGUGGAACUCCAUGUGUAGCGGUGGAAUGCGUAGAUAUAUGGAAG